UACGUAGGUGGCGAGCGUUAUCCGGAAUCAUUGGGCGUAAAGAGGGAGCAGGCGGCCGCAAAGGUCUGUGGUGAAAGACCGAAGCUAAACUUCGGUAAGCCAUGGAAACCGGGCGGCUAGAGUGCGGAAGAGGAUCGUGGAAUUCCAUGUGUAGCGGUGAAAUGCGUAGAUAUAUGGAGGAACACCAGUGGCGAAGGCGACGGUCUGGGCCGCAACUGACGCUCAUUCCCGAAAGCGUGGGGAGCAAAUAG
rnacentral:rRNA from 1 species